AAUCAACGCUGGCGGCGUGCCUCAGACAUGCAAGUCGAACGAUUAAAGCUCUCUUCGGAGAGUGUAUAGAGUGGCGCACGGGUGAGUAACACGUAAGUAAUCUACCCUCGAGUGGGGAAUAACAACCGGAAACGGUUGCUAAUACCGCAUAAUGCAGCGGCACCGCAAGGUGACAGUUGUUAAAGAUUUAUCGCUUGAGGAGGAGCUUGCGGCAGAUUAGCUAGUUGGUAGGGUAACGGCUUACCAAGGCUACGAUCUGUAACCGGUCUAAGAGGACGGUCGGUCACACUGACACUGAAUAACGGGUCAGACUCCUACGGGAGGCAGCAGUCGGGAAUUUUGGGCGAAUGGGCGGAAAGACCUGACCCAGCAACGCCGCGUGAAGGAUG
rnacentral:rRNA from 1 species